AACGUCAGAGUUCGCAAUAAAAUUAUUCUUAUCCGCAAAUAAUUGUAAUACACAUUAUAAAGUUGCAUUAAUAAACAGUUUUGUGUUAUGUAUUUAACGGUUUAAAUACGACAGAAAUUAGACAGGAAGAAUCUAUAAAAUCAUGUAAUAAGUAUCUGUUUAAUAGCACGUACACAUUUUAAUAGUACUGUUCACACAGUCAUUUUAUAAAUAACUUGCAAAUAAUAUGUGACUAAUGUCUUCCGUGAACCGGUCCGCAAGUCAUAAACUCAAGGGCAGUCUAUAAAUAAAACGAUACUUUU
rnacentral:lncRNA from 1 species